rnacentral:rRNA from 1 species
GCAAGUCGAGCGAGACCUUCGGGUCUAGCGGCGGACGGGUGAGUAACGCGUGGGAACGUGCCCUUUGCUUCGGAAUAGCCCCGGGAAACUGGGAGUAAUACCGGAUACGCCCUUUGGGGGAAAGAUUUACCGGCAAAGGAUCGGCCCGCGUUGGAUUAGGUAGUUGGUGGGGUAAUGGUCUACCAAGCCGACGAUCCAUAGCUGGUUUGAGAGGAUGAUC